AUCGAACGCUGGCGGCAGGCCUAACACAUGCAAGUCGAACGAGUGGCGGACGGGUGAGUAAUGUCUGGGAAACUGCCUGAUCGAGGGGGAUAACUACUGGAAACGGUAGCUAAUACCGCAUACCAUCAGAUGUGCCCAGAUGGGAUUAGCUAGUUGGUGGGGUAACGGCUCACAAAGGCGACGAUCCCUAGCGGGUCUGAGAGGAUGUCCAGCCACUCUGAAUCAGAGACGCGGUACAGACUGAUAGGAGGGGGCAGAGUGGGGAAUAUGGCACUGUAGGAGAGAGCCUGGUGCAGACAUGCCGCGUGUAUGAAGAAGGCCUUCGGGUUGAAAAGUACUUUCAGCGGAGGAGGGUAACCCGCAGAAGAGGCACCGGUUAACUCCGUGCCAGCAGCCGCGGUAUAC
rnacentral:rRNA from 1 species